rnacentral:lncRNA from 1 species
UGUGUGUGUGUGUGUGUGUGUGUGUGUGUGCGUGCAUGCUUGUACACGUGUGCACCUUAAAGCAGGCUGAUGUAACAGUUAGGGACAAAGAGUAUAUUUAAUUACCAAGAACAGAGCCAGGGAGACUGAACCCGUUUCUGAAACUGGUUCCUUCUCUCUCUGACCCUAGGUGGAUAUGGGUUAGUUGAGAUUUGCCAACUAUUAAAUAAAGUGAUGAUCUCUCAUCUCUCAUUUUUCUGAACACUAAAAAAUAAGGCUGCCCACAUGGGAUGCUGAGAGCAGAGGCCGAUGGGUGGAGAAUGACUUCUGUGUGUACAUAAACUUUUACACUAAAUUUUAAUUUGCUUUUGUUUGAGUAUUUCAUGUGUGGGUCCUGUAUUUGUUUCCUCUCUACCCUUCCCUCUCAUCUGCAUACACACCUCUGAGUCCUCUUAGUGUUGCCUCUCUCUCUCUCUCUCUUUGUGUGUGUGUGUGUGUGUGUGUGUGUGUGUGUGUGUGUGUGUGUAUGUGUGUAUGGCUGACCACUCCGGCCUGGGUAACCUAUCAGGAGCUUGUCACUGGACAAGACUGGCUCACCUCCUCUAAGCAGCCGUCUAGAAGAAUCUAGAGGCAGGUCCAUCUAAGGCCUUGUGACCUUUUCUGCAUCUGCGUUGGCAUGCCAACAGGUGCUGCCAUAAUGCAGGUCUUGUUUAAGCAGCCAUGUUGUUGGUGUUUCGUGCAUAUAGUUUCCUGUCAUAUAGAGAAGCUACUGUCUUGCAGUGCAGGUCUUGAUCCUCUGGCCCUUGAAACUUUUUUGAGUUUUAAAGUUUAGAAAGGACACAGAUAGUUGAGCAGGGAGUGUGCUGGCAAUAUGGGUGGGAAGACGAGAGACCACCAUGUAGUUUAGUGGCAGAACGCUGGGCUAGCUGGAGCCUUCUCCUUCAGCUGGAGUCUUAACAGUGCCAUAGAAAGAAGGGAGAGAGAGAGACAGAGACAGAAAGGGAGGAGGAGGAGGAGAAGAAGAAGAGGAGAGGGAGAGAGGAGAAGAGUUAACUAAAUCUCCAAACAAAUUCUAUAUCGUUGAGAACCUCGGGUUUUCUCUGCAGAGGAUUUACUGUGCCCUGAGCCUCUGUGUGGGGUAGAAGCUUUGCUUCGAGAGGAGCUUACACAUAAAGGAGAACUGUGCGAUCCCUCUAGGAUGAUGUGAAUGGCUUUCUAGGAAACACACCUGAAGAACCUGCUGGCAGCUGAUACGCGUCAGGGUCAGGGCCCUCAGCUGCUGAGAGUGAAGCUACAGACCAGAGAACCUGGUUUUUAUCAGUGGGAAGUCCUGGAGAGUAGAGGCAUUGUCUUCACCAACAAGGCUGGGUGGAAUUGUACACUUUCACGGCUGAAUGUCUGCGUGUGGCUUUGUAUUCUUAUCUGUAAAAUGGGAGUGAUGACUUCCCUAUGAGGAACAAUUUAGGGCCUGUGGCAGGCAUGCAGUAUUGAACAGGGUAACUGUUCACCACCUCCUUCCCUAUUGCUGACGUUGUCAAAAUCAGAGGGGAGGAGAAGUCAUAGGUUCUACAAGUACUGUUGUUUAUUUUUUAAAAAAUCCUUUUCUGAGCUGGGGAGACAGCUCAGUGUGUAAAUCACUUGCCAAGCAACCAUGAUGACCAGAGUUUGGUUCCUAGCUCCCAUGUAAAAACCAUGUGGUUUGGACAACCUGCCUGUAGUCUCGGCACAUCUCAAAGCAAGCAGGCUAAGCAGAUUAGUCAAGAUGACAAGUUCUGGGUUCAGCAAGAGGAGAGCACAUACGUCAUUAUAUAAGUUGGAGUGUGGUCAAGUAAUACACUCAGUGUUCAUGUCAGCCUUGCACAUACAUGUGUGCACAUGCACUAAUGUCAGCCUUGCACAUACACGUGUGCACAUGCACUUGUAAACUCACAUGCCUAUGCACACGAGAGCAGCUCUGAAGCCUCAGAAUAAUUGACCUACUUCAAAAUUUCUUUCUGCCUCAGCCAGAGCUUGGCUGGAAUGGUAGGCUAUGCUGCAUACAAGCAAUAGUUAUGAUGGUCAGGGCUGGGUCCUCUCUGGAUCACGAUGACUAUUGAAAUCUGCAGUAGCUGGAUUGAAGAAUUCUUAUAUGUGUGCACUAUGAGAUAGAGUGCCUGCAUUUGAACCCCAGCUAGCUAUGAAGUUUGGCCACUAGCUUAAAAAUAUUUUUCUUUUAAAUUAAAUUAAAUUUAAUGUCAUCUCAACUUUAAAAUUAGAAUGAGACUCAUUCUUAUUUCAUGGAACUACUGGGGAAAUUUAACCUAGUUGUACAUAUAAAUUCCAAAGUAUUGUGGGAAAAGUUCCUGGUCCAAUGGAUGCUGGCCAUUAUUAUCAUUAAAGCAUUAACUGUGUGUUUAUAAAAGCUCAU